CAGGACAAGAUUGAUGCAGUCAGAAAUGCGCCAAUACCACAAACCAAGAAACAGGUUCGUGCCUUCCUAGGCUUAGCAGGAUUCUACAGAAAGUUUAUUCCGAAUUUCUCUGCGAUAGCCAUUCCACUUUCUGAUCUUACGAAGAAGGGCCAACCAAAUAAAGUUAUUUGGACUGAAAGUCAGCAACGAGCUUUUGAUACAUUGAAACACAUGUUAUCAGAAAGGCCAAUAUUGAAGUUGCCAGAAUUUAAUGAAACCUUCAUUUUACGCACGGACGCUGCAGAUGAUGGGAUAGGUGCUGUGCUGUUACAGAUGGAGGAUGACGAGAAACUACCCGUAGCGUACGCCAGUAGGAAACUUCAACCAAGAGAAAAGGCAUACGCUGUUAUCGAGAAGGAGUGUUUGGCGGUAGUGUGGGGAAUACAGAAGUUCCACCAGUACCUUUAUGGACGCGAGUUUCUACUUGAAACUGAUCACCAACCCCUGACCUACCUUAACAAAGCAAAGACAGAGAACUCCAGACUGAUGCGUUGGGCUUUGCAGCUUCAGCCAUACCGCUUUAGGAUCAUUGCGAUCAAAGGAAGCGACAAUGUGGGUGCGGAUUACCUGAGUCGUCAGUGAGAUGUAUAGUAGACAGUACAGGUAUGUGUAUAGGUUUUAUUGUAAAUACGUGAGAAUUUUCAAAAUUCAGUGAUUGUUUAUUUGAAAUUGCAGGACAAUUUUUUAAGGGGGGAGGUGUGUGACAAUCACUGUUCAUAUCGAACACACCCGAUUUUAUUUUUCCCAUAAUUCUUUGCAACGUGCUUGGCCGACCCUAACAAUAGGCGCUAAGUUAUACCCGGCCGAGCUGUCCAGCAAUAAAGACGUGCUUAGUGUGUGAAGGGGGUAUCGUGUUAGAAGCCUGUGUGGCAUGUUUUAGUUUCACAAGUUCAGCAUUUGACGCGGACACGGAUAGCUGACCGUGUGUCAUAUUGUUGAUGUUGAUGACGACGAUGAUGUUAUGAUGUCGAUGACUACGAUGAUGAUGAUGGUCAUGUCGAUGAUGAUGGUGUAGAUGAUGUCGUUCAUGGUGAAGUCGAUGACGAUGCGAUGUUCAUGUUGAUGACGACGAUGAUGUUAUGGUGAUGAUGACGACGAUGAUGAUGGUCAUGUCGGUGAUGAUUAUGAAGUAGAUGAUUAUGGUGAUGACGAUGAUGUCUAUUAUGAUUAUGGUGUUGUAGGCGAUGGUGUUGACGAUAGUGUCGAUGAUUAUGAUGGCGAUGGUGAUGAUGAUGAUUGUGGUGACGAAACUACUCUAGUUGUGGUUGUCCGUAGUUGGUCCAGGACUACAGCCCCGGAGAUUCGGACACUCUUCUAAUUUAUUUUUGGUCAUUUGUAUAAACAUCAUAUUUUUUCUUGUUGAGUGAAAGGUGUGUGAGUGUUUGUGUGGUUUAGUGUUUAUAUUUCUAUCUUUUCUUUCUUUCUCUUAUUUUUUUUGUUAUUAAAUUUUGUUAAAUUUAA